rnacentral:rRNA from 1 species
UACAGAGGGGGCGAGCGUUGUUCGGAAUUACUGGGCGUAAAGGGCGCGUAGGCGGCCCUCUAAGUCGAACGUGAAAUCCCCGGGCUCAACCCGGGAACUGCGUCCGAUACUGGAGGGCUCGAAUCCGGGAGAGGGAUGUGGAAUUCCCGGUGUAGUGGUGAAAUGCGUAGAUAUCUGGAGGAAUACCGGUGGCGAAGGCGGCAUCCUGGACCGACAUUGACGCUGAGGAGCGAAAGCCAGGGGAGCAAACGGG